GACGAACGCUGGCGGCGUGCUUAACACAUGCAAGUCGAACGGUAAGGCCCUUCGGGGUACACGAGUGGCGAACGGGUGAGUAACACGUGGGUGAUCUGCCCUGCACUUCGGGAUAAGCCUGGGAAACUGGGUCUAAUACCGGAUAGGACCCUGGGAUGCAUGGCCUGGGGCGGAAAGCUUUUGCGGUGUGGGAUGGGCCCGCGGCCUAUCAGCUUGUUGGUGGGGUGAUGGCCUACCAAGGGGACGACGGGUAGCCGGCCUGAGAGGGUGACCGGCCACACUGGGACUGAGAUACGGCCCAGACUCCUACGGGAGGCAGCAGUGGGGAAUAUUGCACAAUGGGCGCAAGCCUGAUGCAGCGACGCCGCGUGAGGGAUGACGGCCUUCGGGUUGUAAACCUCUUUCAGCACCGACGAAGCGCAAGUGACGGUAGGUGCAGAAGAAGGACCGGCCAACUACGUGCCAGCCGCCGCCGUAA
rnacentral:rRNA from 1 species